rnacentral:rRNA from 1 species
UACGAAGGGGGCUAGCGUUGCUCGGAAUCACUGGGCGUAAAGCGCACGUAGGCGGAUUGCUAAGUCAGGGGUGAAAUCCUGGAGCUCAACUCCAGAACUGCCCUUGAUACUGGCAGUCUCGAGUCCGGGAGAGGUGAGUGGAACUGUGAGUGUAGAGGUGAAAUUCGUAGAUAUUCGCAAGAACACCAGUGGCGAAGGCGGCUCACUGGCCCGGUACUGACGCUGAGGCACGAAAGCGUGGGGAGCAAACAGG